UACGUAGAGAACUACACAUAGCGUGCAUUGCAGAGCGGGAAAGAGGUGUAAAGUUUAUUCUGCUGGAUGUGGACGCUGCAACUAUAAUGCCUUUAACGCUGCUGUCUGCUGGUUAUCCUGAGGACACAAUGCGCUCUCUGACUGACAGACUGCCAUGUAGAGAGACACAGGUCACCUCACUACUGGCACUCAUGGGAGAGCCAGAUCAAUACAGUUAUCCUUCAAUCUUCAUCUAUGGCCAUAGAUCAACUGGAAAGAGCCAUGUGGUGCUCUCCAUCAUGAAGGACCUGGAGAUUCCCCAUGCUUCUGUGGACUGUGUGGAGUGUGUGUCUCCCAGGCUGCUUUUUCACCAGGUGUUAUUGGCCUUUUUUGGCCCAGAUGCUGCGGCGUUGCUGCCCCGCUGUCCGUCUUUGUCAGACUUUGUGCGACUUUACAAACAGAUGAAAGAUCAUGCCACUCAGACACGCUAUAUAAUUCUGGACAAAGCUGAACGCAUGAGAGAUAUGGAUUUCAGUCUGCUUCCUGUUCUUCUGCGCCUCCAGGAAUUGGUUGAUGAUAACGUGACAGUUAUCCUGCUUAGUGAAAUUGUCUGGGAGAAGUUUAGGCCCAACACCGGCUGCUUUGAACCUCUGCUCUUUCAUUUCCCUGACUACAGUAAAGCGGAGCUAGUUCAGAUCCUGUCUCAGGACCAUCACCCAUCCUACACCCCUGAGCUCUAUGCCUCCUACAUCAACAUACUGCUUGGAGUUUUUUUUUCUGUGUGUCGGGAUCUGAGAGAACUCCGGCACCUGGCUGCACUGAAUUUCCCCAAGUUCUGUGAACCCCUGGAGAAGGGAGAGGCCACAGAGAGUGAUAUUCACAAGUUAUGGAGAAACAUUGAGCCCCAUCUGCAGAGAGCCAUGCAGACGGUUUACCUCCGAGAGGUGUCCAGCAUCCAAUGGGAGCAGCAGCAGAUGGACGAAAAGGAGGCCACGACCCCCAGAGGUCUCUCAGCCCAUGCUCACAUAGAGCUGCCUUAUUACUCCAAGUUUCUUCUGAUCGCUGCUUACCUGGCAUCCUAUAAUCCCGCCCGCACAGAUCGACGUUUCUUUGUCAAGAGUCACGGGAAACUAAAAAAGACUAAUUUCUUGAAGAAACAUGAGAAGACUAGUAACCAUCUGUUAGGACCGAAGCCUUUUCCACUUGACAGAUUGUUGGCCAUAUUUUACAGUGUGGUUGACAGCAGAGUUGCACCUACAGCCAGUAUCUUUUCACAGAUCACGUCUCUAGUUAUUCUGCAGCUUCUCACUCUGGUGGGACACGAUGACCAGCUGGACUCUCCCAAAUACAAAUGUGCAGUAUCACUGGACUUCAUUAUUGCGAUCUCCAGAACUGUAAGUUUCGAUGUGGUAAAGUAUCUGUAUGACUUCCUAUGAGUCUGUGGACAUAAAGCAGGCCUCUGAAUGGACAAAGCACUUGGAAUUACUUGGAUGGACAGCAACAAGGUUCCAGAAGCCUGAGAUCUACUCUUUCUGCAUUUAUUAGUCCAAUCAGGUGACACUUUGGGAAAAUAAAGUUCAUGUGAGAGACUGAAACAAUGCUUACUUCUUUCUCAAAUGGAAUUAUGGUGGAUUUGGUUUGUUGAUGGGUGACAACUUAAAGUUGGUCCAUAAAAAUAAAAAUGGCAUUAUUUGUUAUAAUAAUGUGUCUGUGUUUUUGUUUGUUUGUUUGUUUUUUUGCCCUUGUCUUCAAAUCUGUUUAAUUAUCAUACAUAUACUGUAAUGAGUUAAGGGUGGUUUGGCACAUAAUAUUUGGAUUUAAAUAGAAUGGGGGGGGGGCCUCUGAAGUGUGCUUUGCUCAAAAUGUAUUACAGCAAGAGCCAGUGAAAGGUACAAGCCCUACAUUAAUCAUUGUUUUUAUGAAAUACAAAUCAUGUACAUACAUAGGCUUUAGUCUUAUCUGUUGAUAUUGAUAUAUGUUGAUGCAUUGUUUUUGCAGCAUUUCUCUUGAUGGCUGACAUCACAUCUCUCCCAAACCACAUGACUUAACACCAAGGACAACUCGGCUUUGUGAAAUGACCUCAUUAUCAUUUUGAAACAAGAUGGCAAAGCAAAGUGAAUAACAAUCACCUUCUCAGUGGUGGACAAAGAAAACCCAGAACAACUGCAAAAUGAAGACCAGGAGAAAGCA